rnacentral:snRNA from 1 species
UCGUCUUGCGAGGCACCACUGUACUAAAAUUGGAACGAUACAGAGAAGAUUAGCAUGGCCCCUGC